UGAACAUAGCACCAAUUAAUUUACUUUUGCUCCUUAUAUUGUUCUUUUGCACUUUUCGAAUUUACAGUUUUGUGAAUUAAAUCUUUGAAAAUCUAUAUGCGCAGGUUUGAAUCCCCAAGCAUGUCGUAGGUUUGGGAUAUGUCACUUAUGUCACUUGCGUUCGAGUUCAAAUCUUUUUUCUCAUAAGUUAGAUGAAAGUGGAGUAUUCACCAACUUGCAUGGUCGGUCUUAUAAUUCUUGUGCGACAUAAAUAAAAAAGUGUACAUGUAUAAUUGUGUAUUAAAGUCAAUUUUGAUGCUCCCAAGCUACAUGAAUAAAAAUGGUUACACCAUUCACAGACUGUACAUACAUCAUUGGAUUUAGAUUCAUUGUCUCUGUUAGACUAAAAACUUGAGGGUUUUAGAAAAUUGGAGGUCUUGUGCGGUAACACUACAUGCACCAUCCUACUUAAGUUAGGGAAAAUAAUACUGGUUUUUUGGAUAUUCAAGAUAGAACAACCUGCAACUU
rnacentral:lncRNA from 1 species